rnacentral:rRNA from 1 species
CUCCAAAAGAGAGUGACGGGCAAUUUGUACACAAAUAAAUAAUUAUUCAAAUAAAUUCUAUAUAUUUAUUUUACUUUUAAAUUUUUCUAUAUAUUAAAAAUUACAAUAUAUUAUAUUGUUAAAUAUUAAUUAAUACAAUUUAUUUCAUUCUUUUACAUAAGCUGCACCUUUACCUAAAAUUUUAACCAUUAAUGAUAUUUAAAA